rnacentral:rRNA from 1 species
AUUAAUAAUUAAUAUAUUUAAUAAAAAUAAUUUUAAUUUAAUAAGUAUUUUAAUGGGGGUUAAAGUAUUUUUUAAAGAAAAAAUUUUUAAAUUUAUAGUUAAUUAGUAUUGUGAAAGAAUUUUGAAAUAUUAUGAAAAAUAAAAUUUUUAGAAAGUAAUUUUUAUUUAUUGUAUCUUGUGUAUCAGAGUUUAUUAAAAAUUUUUAAUUUAUGAAUUAAUUUCUCGAAUUUAAAAGAGUUAAAUAAUUAUUAAAGUUAUUGUAGCAAAAUUAUUUUAAAUAAUUAUUUAGAAAUGAAAUGUUAAUCGUUUUUAAAUAUAUCUAGUUUUUAUAGAAAAAAAUUUAAUUUUAAAUUUAAAAAUUAUUUAAUUAAUUUAUUAAUUAAAUAGUUACUUAAAUUUUAUAAUUUAAGGGAUAAGCUUUAAAUUAAAUUUUUAUAAUAUUAAAUUUUUAUUUUGAAAAUUUUAUAAUUUAUAUUGUUAAUAAAUUUUAUUUUGUUAUAAAUAAUUUCAUUUUUUUUAAAAUUUAAAUUUUAUUUAAUUUUUUAUAUAAAAUUUAUUUAUAAUUAUAUAAAGUUAAUUAUAAUGAUAAAAUUAGUAUAUUAUUUAAUAUUAAAUUAAAAUUAAUUUUUGAUUAAUAAUUAAAUUAAUUAAAAGGAAUUCGGCAAAUAUUUAUUUUCACUUGUUUAUCAAAAACAUGUCUUUUUGUUAUUUAAUUUAAAGUCUAAUCUGCCCACUGAUUUAUAAAAAUUGAAGGGCUGCAGUAUAUUGACUGUACAAAGGUAGCAUAAUCAUUAGUCUCUUAAUUGGUGACUUGUAUGAAAGAUUGGAUGAAAAAUAUACUGUCUCUUAAUUAAUAUAUAGAAUUUAAUUUUUUAUUUAAAAAGUUAAAAUAAUUUAAAAAGACGAGAAGACCCUAUAGAGUUUAAUAAAUUAUUUUAUGAAAGUUUUAUUUAUAUUUAUUAAUAAUUUUAUAAAUUUAUUUAUUUAGUUGGGGUGAUAAAAAAAUAAAUUUAACUUUUUUUAAGUAAUUUACAUGGAUAAGUGAUUAAU